AGUGAACGCUGGCGGUAGGCCUAACACAUGCAAGUCGAACGGCAGCACAGUAAGAGCUUGCUCUUACGGGUGGCGAGUGGCGGACGGGUGAGGAGUACAUCGGAAUCUACUUUUUCGUGGGGGAUAACGUAGGGAAACUUACGCUAAUACCGCAUACGACCUACGGGUGAAAGCAGGGGAUCUUCGGACCUUGCGCGAUUGAAUGAGCCGAUGUCGGAUUAGCUAGUUGGCGGGGUAAAGGCCCACCAAGGCGACGAUCCGUAGCUGGUCUGAGAGGAUGAUCAGCCACACUGGAACUGAGACACGGUCCAGACUCCUACGGGAGGCAGCAGUGGGGAAUAUUGGACAAUGGGCGCAAGCCUGAUCCAGCCAUACCGCGUGGGUGAAGAAGGCCUUCGGGUUGUAAAGCCCUUUUGUUGGGAAAGAAAAGCAGCAGGUUAAUACCCCGCUGUUCUGACGGUACCCAAAGAAUAAGCACCGGCUAACUUCGCG
rnacentral:rRNA from 1 species